ensembl:lncRNA
CAGGGCCUCUGCGACCAGGGAGCGGCGGGCAAGGGGCUGAGGGGAGGGGGACCUGGUGCCAGCCGUUUAAAAGUGCCCCUGUGGCAGUGAAGGGUGCCAGAGGCCCGGUCAAGUUAGUUGAGAAGAAGUGACACCCCCAACCAUUCCCCAAAUGGUCUGGCCCCCGUAUCCCGGCUGCAAGGAGCCAUAUCUGGACCAGACCCCCAGAGAGCCUCCCCGAGCUUCUCGACAGAAGACAGAGGUUCCCCCACUCAGUGACAUUUCCUGAAGACAGUGGGGAGCAGGGAGGGGAAAUCGGCCCGUCCUCCGGGAGCCACCCCCAGACAGCCAACAACCAGGUAAGUUUUGCCAGGUGAGACUGGGGCCACCUGUGCAUCCGCCUCCUUCAGUGGAAGGAGAAAUGGAGCCACGGGAGGAGGGCGCCUCUGAGAAGGGACCACACCGGUUAGUGAUAGAACCCAGGUCUCCCAGUGGCCCCUGUCUGUCGUCUGGGGUCCCAGGGUGAGGGGAGCCUAUCGUGGGUAAGUGGAGUAGGAGGGCUAUCGGCCCCCUGCCCAGGGAGGCCCUCAUUUGAAGGAGACCAAGGGUCAGGGCCAGCACUGUCCGCCCGCCCAGCAAGGACACAAGACUCGGGGAGGAGUUCCCAGGGCCAGAGAGCCAGGAGAAGGGCACCCUUCCUGCACCUCUGCCCCUCCUCCCAGCCCAGCCAUGCCACCUCCUCCUCCAGGAAGCUCUCCCAGCUAACGCCAGGGCAGGAACCUCUUCGUGCUCUAAGCCCUUGACAAACAGUCCUUUCUUGGGCUCUCUCUUGUGCCACUUAGUUCUGCUCUCUAUUUACCUUGCCAGGGGCAUUUCCCUCCACCUCAGCCUGACUGCGCUCCUCCAGGGCAAGGUUUAGUCCCUUCUCCUCUUGGCACAUCGAAGACGCACUGGGGUCGCUGAACGGACAGGUGAAACGGUUAGGCCCUGUCCCCAACUCAAACGCUUGGAAAAUUGGCCAGGGGGUGAGAUAUCCAGCGUAGAGGUUAAAAAUGAGGGUCCUGGGUCGGCUGUUCUGAGUCAGGAAUCCCAGCACAGCUCCCAGCUCCAUGCCCUGGGAAAAUUCCCUUCCCACCGGGCCUUGGGGAUGAGCACGGUUAAAACAGCCAAUAAGUGACCGUUCCUACUGCCGUCAGCAUCACCAUGAUUUUUCUAGAGACAAAGGAACAGAACUAGUCAGCCUACAGCCCCAGAGCAGACGGAGGCCAUCCCUUCCCCCGUCAAAGGCUGCGCCCCAGCCCUGGCCCUGCGUCACGGUCUCUCCCACAGGAGCGUGGGCCUGCCUCUCCUUCCCGUUACUACACCCAGGAGAGCUGCACUCUUUGCGGUAAUAUUCUCAGCCCGAUGGGAUGUGCUGGAAAUAGCCAUCGCUCCCCCGGUUCAAGCUGGGCUGUGACCCUGGAACCAUCUCCUUCCCUUCCUGGUCCUCCCGGUGGAGGUGACAGCAUCCGCCUGCCACCCUCACCAACCACUCUGAAGAUUAAACGUGACAGGCACAAUUUCCCAAAUUGCACUCACUCGGAGGCCCCCUUUUAUAUUUUUUGCCAUAUCUGUAAACAAUUAUAAUCUCUUUAAAUUUAAGAUGAAUCAUGGUUAAUACCUAAAUAUAAAUAAGGAGAUAAACGGGAGCCAGAGAAGUGUCAGAGACGGGAUAGUACCUAACGGAGGCUUUCUCCCCGCUUGGUGAACAGAAGGACUGAGAGCAAACGGACAAGGAGUAACUUGAGUCACUCUGUCUUCCAAAGGCAGCGCUGAGGCCACCGGCUGCCCACAUGGCCCUCUCUCUGCACUAAGCCGAAGGUCAUUAGGUGAGAGGGCUUUGGGAACAGUCAGGACCGCGGAAUGCAGGGGGCUGGUUCCUGGCAGCAAAUGAUCGCUUUUUCAGGACAGCUAUCCCUGGCUCCUUUCGGAAACCUCCACCUCGGUCAGGCCAAGUGUUUUCUCUCGCAGGCCUGGUGGGAGCCGCCUGAGAGUGGAGUAGACAGGCUGCGGGCCACCCAGGACCCCCAAGGUGGGUCCCGAUGUUGGAUUCACUCCCCAGCCAAAGGCAAUUUGGAAAGAGUUCCUACAAGAGAAUUCCCUACUAGAGGAAGGCAGUCCUUUAGCUGGGAAUACCUCGGGGAGGGGCAGCACCCCGCAGCAGGCCGUGGGGACUGACCUGCCCCAAGUGGCAGACCAGAGGAAAACACUUCGCAUCUGGGCCUGACUUCAGAUUCUGCUAGAGGCACGGGAGACACGAUUUUGUUAAGGAGGGGUGUUUCUCCUGCUCUCUCCCAGCCUGCUUACUCUGAGGUCCCCACCCAAACCAGGUCUGGAGAGGAAAGUGAAUUAUCUACAUGGCCAUUCAGUCAUCCACUAAUGGCAUUCCUGGGCCCGUUAUCAUGUACAAAGCCCUCAGCAAGGCCCAGGGACUCCCCCAGAUCAACAAAUAUGGGCGCUGUCCUCCGGGAACUGGAGACCUAGCCCAGUCAGCCCCUAAGGCAAAAAGCUCUGACACUGGAGAGACCGAGGCUGAGGAGAACAUCCAGCCAUUCAACCAGUGCCCACUGCAUGUCUACAUUGCCCGGCCCUGCUUCCGGGGGGGAAUACAGGAGGCAGGGUCCCUUCCCUCACAGGCGGGCCAUGCAGUCCACGAGUGCAGGUGGUCAUAAACGAACACUACAUCACAAGUGUGGUAAAGGAUUAGAAAGAAGGCACAAGAUGCGUGUUGACAUGGACGAGGGCGUCCUGAUGUCCGAGGAAGUCGGAGGGGGCGGCUUCCCAGAAGAAGUGGACGUUUGAGUAGAGACUAAGCACAUGAAGAGGAGACGUGCAGGGGAGCGGGGAGGAGCAGCAUGACCCCUGGGAGGCCCCGAGGUAGUGGGCACAGGGCUCCCUGGAGGAGUAGAAGGACAGGGCAGUGGCCCAAGAGGCCAGCUGGGGCCAGCUGGGGCAGUGCCGUACCCUUUGGAGAGAGUUUCAGAAUUUUAAGCAGGAUUUUAAGCAGGGGAGAAAUAUGACCAUAUUUGCAUUUUUAAAGACCGCUCUGGGAGGAUGGCUGGGAAGGAUGGCUGGGAAGUGGGGGGAGUGGGAGCAGGGAGACCAGUAGGAGGCUGAAGCAAACACGGAUGAAAUAAAACAUCAAGUACCGUGAAUUGCUGUUUGGCUGGGAUGUACCAAGCGUCAAGCUGGGGCGUGGGGUCAACGGAUUGGAUGAUUCCAUUUAUUGAAAUGUCUGGAAUAGGCAGCUCUGCGG